rnacentral:piRNA from 1 species
CAGGAAGGGGGCAUUUCUCUCGUGGU